rnacentral:rRNA from 1 species
GACAGAGGGUGCGAACGUUGUUCGGAAUUACUGGGCGUAAAGCGCGUGUAGGCGGCCACGCAAGUCGGGCGUGAAAUCCCACGGCUCAACCGUGGAAGUGCACUCGAAACUGCGUAGCUAGAGUCCUGGAGAGGAAGGUGGAAUGCUUGGUGUAGAGGUGAAAUUCGUAGAUAUCAAGCGGAACACCGGUGGCGAAGGCGGCCUUCUGGACAGUGACUGACGCUGAGACGCGAAAGCGUGGGGAGCAAACAGG